rnacentral:rRNA from 1 species
UACGAAGGGGGCUAGCGUUGUUCGGAAUUACUGGGCGUAAAGCGCACGUAGGCGGAUCUGUAAGUUGGGGGUGAAAUCCCGGGGCUCAACCCUGGAGCUGCCUUCAAGACUGCAGGUCUCGAGGUCAGGAGAGGCGAGUGGAAUACCGAGUGUAGAGGUGAAAGUCGUAGAUAUUCGGUGGAACACCAGUGGCGAAGGCGACUCGCUGGACUGAUACUGACGCUGAGGUGCGAGAGCGUGGGGAGCAAACAGG